GGACCCGCACAAGUAGUGGAGCAUGUGGUUUAAUUCGAAGAUACGCGCAGAACCUUACCAACACUUGACAUGUUCGUCGCGACUUUAAGAGAUUAAAGUUUUCGGUUCGGCCGGACGAAACACAGGUGCUGCAUGGCUGUCGUCAGCUCGUGUCGUGAGAUGUUGGGUUAAGUCCCGCAACGAGCGCAACCCUCACUUUUAGUUGCCAUCAUUUAGUUGGGCACUCUGAAAGAACUGCCAGUGAUAAGCUGGAGGAAGGUGGGGAUGACGUCAAGUCCUCAUGGCCCUUACGUGUUGGGCUACACACGUGCUACAAUGGUAUCUACAACAGGAAGCAAGAUGGCGACAUCAAGCAAAUCCUUAAAAGAUACCUCAGUUCGGAUUGCACUCUGCAACUCGAGUGCAUGAAGCUGGAAUUACUAGUAAUCG
rnacentral:rRNA from 1 species